GGCUGAGUUAGAGGGACGGAAAGAAAGCAGAGGGUCAAGGCUGGAGAGAAAAAAAAAACAGAGCAAACAAAAAAAAAGAGACAAAGGGUGGCGGCUGGAAUCUGGGGGAAGAUUGCGGAAAAGAACACAGAAAAAGGAAAGGGAAAAGCUACGGCUGAAGGAGCAAGGCUUCGGACAGAAAUGAAAAGCUAAGGAAAGGGCCAGAGGAAAAAGCUUCAGGCGGCUGGGAAGCAAAAGGAAAACAGAGGCGGACGGACAAAGGAAAUGAAACGACGGGAGCAAGGAGAGGAACUACCACCGCUCAUGCUGCCACCACUUCAUUGAACCCGCCAUCAUCAUCUGCGAAUUUUCAUCAAGCAAGAGUUUUGUAAGCUGUCUUUUCCCUUCAAAUUUCAGUCUUUUCUUUUAAGCAUGGACGCUGGAAACUCUCUGGUUUUUUUAUCACAAUUUCUUGGCAGACUGCCUAUGUUUCUUCAUUGCAAUUUCUUGGUGAAAGAUUGCUGCUUUGUUUGCUGAUUGGGUUGAAAUUUCUGUUUUUUUUUCUGACAAUUUUGGGGUCAACCGUAACUUCAUUUGAGCAAAGAUUUGUUGGAAUUUUACAUGCCCAUUCCCUAUUUGUUAAAAUGCCCAAGUGAAACUCCUACCUGAAGGAUGAUUGAAUCUUUGUUGCUGUUAAAUUUUGUUGUUGUCGCGUGAGAUUGCUAAAUAUCAAAGUAUCAAAUAAGCCUCAGAAAUUUGCUAAGGUCGCAUGGUUUUCCUUCUGAUCUUUGCGUGAUAACAUCUAAGGUUUUAUGGGGAAAGUAGAAAGCAUGUUUCGUUCAUACCGGAGUGCUUGGUUGCUUGAAGUUUGUACUCUUUUUGGUGUUUGGAUGUCAUGAUGGUGGGCUAUGGGCAUGCUUGCCGUGAAUGUCAUUACGCCUCUGCUGCAAUUUUACGUUCAGUUGCGUUAUAAGGCUGCUAAUGCUUGUAAUGUUUCCUUAAUGCAUAAAGCUCGGGUGUUUUUUGCUGCUCUGUGUUUUGGGUCAUUUUCAUUGCCUUAAUUUAGCCCAUGAAGUGUUUUAUCAUUGGAUUCUGUUAAGAUGAGAGUUGGAAAUUUUGAUUGAAUGAAAAGCUGCAUUUCGUUUCUUAUGUUUUGUUGUUUUUCCUUCUUCCUGCAACAGCCCACAGAGCUGGGUUUCGUCACCUUUGUUUGCAUAUCCAAUCUUGUGUUAAUGAUUGUUAUAGAAGAACGGACCAAGCGUGGGUUUUACUCAGACUUUUGCUAUCUUGCUGGGUUGCUAAAGGAAAUUGCAGAAGAGCAACUUCAGCCCGCCCAAAGUUAUUGCAGAAGCUUGUUUUGAUUGUUUCGUAGUUGUUUUGCAUAAAAUUUUUGCAUGAAAAAAUGUUCCAAAGUUGCAUUCUAACCCCUCAGGUCUCCCCUUGUUCACCAUGGCCCCAAAAUUUGGAAAACUUGAAUUCAUUUUGUCUUUCUUGAGAUUAAUCCUAGGUUGCCUAUUUUAUGUGACUUUUUGUGGAUAAAUUAAUUCUGGGAUUUAGAUCAUGAUUGUGGUUUGAUUAUUUUAGUUGAUUUGCUAAUCUUGUUGGGUUUAGUUUUAUGAUUUGGGUUUUUGGGUAAUAACAUUUGGUUGAGUUUGAAAAGUGGGUUUAAUAUUUGUUUGGGUUUCUUGUUGGGUUUAGGAAGGUUACAAUUCAAAAGUUUUGGUUGGGUUUUAGGAUUGGGCCGUUGUUUAAUUUGGAUUGGGUUUUAAUUGGUAAAAAGUGGGUUGACCCAUUUCAGUCCCUUAGACUUCCGAUUGGGCCAAGUGGUCUUGGCCCAAGAAGAAAUUAGGAAAUGGCCCAAUGGCCUGUUUGAUUAAGAAUCUGGUAACUAGAUUUGUAAAUUAGUCCCUAGAUUUUUCUUUAACUAUACUGUGGCCCUAGAAACUUUCAACUUCUUUCAAUUGGGUCCCAAGUUUAAUUGCAAAUAGGUCCCUAAACUUUAUUUUUCUUUUAUUUUAGACCCCAGAACUUUGUUAUUUUUUGCAAUCAAGUCCUUUCUUCUUUUGACUUCUUAAAUGUGGGUUGUUUAUAUGAUUUAAUUGAUUCGAUUUCACAAUUCACUUUUAUCUUUUAUGAUUAUUUGUUAAUUAAAGUGAUGCCUUGACCUUUUCUUUGUAUUUUGGAGGGUAAAUAAGUAAUUUCACACCAUUGGGGCUCCAAAUCCAGGGAGGUAGACCCUAUCCCUUAUUUCUUACUUUAUUUGACCCUACGUGCCCUAUGUGACUUUACAUGUUUAAUUGCAUGCCCCUUGGAUGUUUAUUUAUUUAAUUCAUUUAUUUAUUUAUUUGCUUUAUUGGCUUUAGCUUUGUAUAUCGAUCAUUUGAAAGGCACUUGAAUGCCAAAUUUGUAAUAGUUAGGUAUUCCUUUAAUUAUUUAUUUAUGUAUUUCCCCCUUUUUAGAUUGUAGUAGGGUUCCUCGAAUGUAAUAGUUAGGGCUUUAUUUGCUUUAUUUGCCUAUGUGUUAUGUGUUACUCGCUUUCCUAGGGUUUUUGCAUCUAGAUAUCAUGCUUACUUGUUAUGUGCUAUAUGUGAUUUAUGUGUUUACAUGCUUUUAGUAGGUCUCACAUGAUUUAUUUGAUUGUAACCGAUGUGUGACGUCACCACACUAAUCCAAUGCUAGUUGUGGUCAAUUUCUCGAAUCCACACUAGUCCAACGCUAGUUGUGGCUCUUUCUUCCGACUUUUCUCACUAGUCCAAUGCUAGUGGGAAAUUGUAGACAUGGGUUAGUCCAACGCUAGACCCUUAGGAGCCCGUCGAGCGUUAGAUCAUGGUUGUGUGACACUUCAUCUCAUGCAUGUUUUCACCUUUAGGGUUUUACCAUGUUGCAUGACAUUUUCUUAUAUAUGUACAUCCUUCCUUAUACGUAUAUCCCUUCCCCCAUAUUUUUCCUUAUAUGUAUAUUACUUACCCCUUUGUAUGAAACACGACAUUAGACUUGCAUUUCAUCUAAGUAUUAGACCUAGGUUAGUACAUUUGCUUGAUUAGAUUAGGAAAAACCCCUUGCAUAUGGGAUAUGGACGAGUUUGGCUUCUCUAGCCUUAGCACGCUCGUAUUCCCUCUAUUAAAGGGAACAUUGAAGUCACGAGUAUAAGUCCCCCGCACCCAUUAUGAUGCAUUCCCUUAGGUCAUACACAUUUGUAUAUUAUUAUUUUCUUUCCUUUUUCUUUUUUUCGAGUCUCAUGACUUGCAUUAUUCGUGACUUCUUCGAAAAUUCUUUAUUGGGCGUCACAAUUAAUGUGAUUGGUACCAAAUAAGCUUUGGAGAUACAUUUCGACCCCUCAAUACCCUCCUAGGUCUAGGGUUUGCAUUCAUAUAGUACAUCCAAAUGUGAUAAAUCAUUAGGUUAAAAUCAGAAAACCUUUGACUAAAUCGCGCAACUAGCCUUGCCUAGGUUGAAAGGG
rnacentral:lncRNA from 1 species